GCUACAGGAGCACCAUUGGCCACCACUCAGGAAUGGAGCUUCCCUGGUGGGAAUGGACAUUGCGAAGGACGCGAGCCCUCCCUCCCGCCUAUGGUACCGGUACCGGUACCGGGCUGGCAGGGAAGAGACCCCGGAAGGGGGACGCAGGGCAGCGCCAGGGACAACGCAGCCGGUGUGUCCUGAUCUCCUCAGACAUGGAUGGCAGGGCCUGGGGCUCCAAGGCUCACUGGCUCCCACGUCUGGCGUUCAGUGCUGGCAGAGGCUGGGAUCUCGGUCACACCCACACAUGGCCUUUCUGCUCUUUCAUCACUCGUGUAUGUCUGUGUAUCCACCCCCACCAUCAAGAUACGGAGCAGUUCUAACAUCCCAAGGGUGCCCUUCUCCUUCAGCUGCAAUCAGGGGGCUUCCAGUGUGAAAUGUGAGACUAAAGACAGAGUGAGUGCAGGGGAAGGAAAAAAAUAGAGGAAACAACCUCAGCUCAACAACCUUGGUAACAGGAAACAACCUCAGGAAUACAACAGAUUGCUGGGAGAUGUGAAUACAUCAAAAGUACAGGGACUGAGCAGGAUCGCCUAGGUUACAAAUAAAUAAAUAAAAUCUCCAAAU
ensembl:lncRNA